UCGUUACAGGCAACAAGGUCUGUCUGAUUGAUGAUUGGAAUGAUGUUCUAAAUAGUUGAUUCUUGAAAACUAGACAGUUCUUCCUAAAAGCCGUCAUUACACGUGUACAAGUGAAGAGAGGCGGAUCGAAUCUGCAAAUGCUGCAGAUAAAUUGAUUUGAAAAACAAGCAAGGUAAGCUACAGCCGAACUACAAAACUGGCGUUACAGAAUUGUGUGAGAACUUAUAGCGCGCGCUAAAGGCUCAACUACAACUGGAAACUGGUCAGUUUAAGUAGUAGCUACUUGCGUAGUAUAAUCUUUAUUCUGAAGUCUUACAAUAGCUACAAGCUAGAAGACUAGACUAGAAAGAAAUAUCAUAGUGAAGAAUAUGCAGUUACACACUGUGACAGUACAGUCACAUUUCUGAUAGUUAAUUAUAUCUAUGGGAUGUCAA